UACAGAGGUGGCAAGCGUUGUUCGGAAUUACUGGGCGUAAAGUGUGCGCAGGCGGCAGAGCAAGUCGAGUGUGAAAGCCCCGGGCUUAACUUGGGAAUUGCGCUCGAAACUACUUUGCUGGAGUGUGGCAGAGGAAGGUGGAAUUCCACGUGUAGCGGUGAAAUGCGUAGAUAUGCGGAGGAACACCGAUGGCGAAGGCAAUCCCCUGGGCCUGCACUGACGCUCAUGCACGAAAGCGUGGGGAGCAAACAGG
rnacentral:rRNA from 1 species